CUCGAACAUUUUCAGGAAGGUGAUUCCAGAGUUUAGGAGCGAAGUGUGAAAAAGCUCUACCUCCUUUGGGAGAAUUUAUAUCCUCUGUAUUAUCAAAAGUCCAGAGUUUUGCGACCUUUGAGAGCGUGAAGGAUUGUAACGUGAUAGAAGAUUGGUUAAAUAUAAAGGAGCUUGGCUUGUUUAGGGCUUUAUAGCUCUCUAAGACUGUAUUGGUUUUCUCCGACGAGGACACCAUGCUGGACAUCUUGGUGCUGAUGUUCUUCGCGAUCAUCGGUCUGGUUUUCCUCUCUUAUAUCAUCUACAUGCUCUGAUGCACGCGCAGCUGCGUUGAUGGAGCACUGUGAUGGAUGAGCCGCACGGAUUGCGCCUCCCAGGGCAUCUCCCAGGCAAAGGUUUCAAGAGCAAACUUGGAUGAUGAUGUUCGGCCCCCGGAGAGAGAGAAGGAAAACAGCUGGUUUUAUCGAGGAGCUGGAGGAAGAGGAACACCUUUAUAAAAAUGACAGCUCAGAACAUUCUCACACUUUACUCCGCUUCUUUCCAUACCGAUGGUCUCUUCAUCUUCCUAAACACCAUCAGAAUGCAAGAAGAUCCUGCUGUCCUUUCUUUUCUCUUUUUUUUUUAAGCGGAUGACAAUGAUAUCUAGGGCUUUUUCUUUGUAACUUUGUAACUUUGCACUGUCUGCAAUGGAGCACAUUACUUAAUUGUAUGCUUGUGAGUUAGACAAAGGAUAACGAAAUGGAGAGAAUGAGAAGAUACAGUAGAUUCUAUUGAGACUACAUUUUAUUCACUUCCUUUGUUGAUUUCCUAGACAUGUAAUAUGCACUCUUUUUAACCUUUAUUCUUCCACAGGAUAAUAACUGCAACUGUGCUAUUUGAAAUAAAGAGGCAAUGAAAAAAUGGAAAAAUAUUCUCUUUUUAUUUCAUUUAAUAAUAUAACAAAUUUGUCCACCAUCUACUUGCAGUCCUUUUGUGUAGUUAGAAACAACCACAAAAUUCCAAGCCUGAAAUCCAUGGUAAAGGAUAUUAUUAAUCAUCAGUUCUGAUGGCAGUUACAGGCAUUUUCCUACAGCCUUUAUGAAUUUUGUUCAUAGCAAGCAUCACCUUUGCCUGGUCAUAUACUGAUGCUAAGAUUGCGAAUGGAACGAACUUAGUUGAAAAUCAUGGUGGUAAAAAGGAGGAGGAAGUGUCUAUCUGACUUCCUGGUCAGAACCAUGUACUAAACAGAUUAUAACAACCAAGAACUAUCCAAUCAAAUUUGGUUUGCCAGUCAGGAUGCAGGCUGGUCCUAUUUGCUAUGCCUUUUUUCUGUAGCCUCAGUGUUAUGCGCCUUAUCACUGUUGCUCUGUAAGAGACGAUGAGCACAGGGGCAGAUUUAGUGAUUUGGGGUCUCUAGGCAAAAUAUAGGAAUGGGGCCCCAUUUCAGUGCUUUAGCAUCGUAACUUAAAUUUUCAGCAUAUGUUGUAUAGCAUUAAUAGUUAAAAUAUAUAUAACUUGCAUUUUUAGCAGGCCCUUGGCUUCUGACAAGAGCGAGAUUUAAUUGUGUUAAAAUGAUGUCCAGUUAGAAACGCAUGUAAUACCAUUCACUAAUUUUCACUUGGUAUAGCUGAGUGUUAGACCAUUUUACUGCAGAUCCCCUGAUCAAAUCCUUGUACCCUUGUCUGACUCAUGUGAUUAAGGUAUUCUUUACAGUUUACAGCAUUAAAAGCCCAAUGGAAAUCACCAAAACUAUAAACGAUAUUAUUUGUAGACAGUACUAUAGCACCAUGGAAUUUUUUUUCAGCCUUUGCUGCAAUAUGAAUAUCGCUACUUUAAAUUGCUUUAGAAUGAGAUCCUGUUAAAAUCAACUGAUGACAGUGAACUUACUUUGCCAAGGAGGAUGUAGCUCAGCGGUAGUGUGUUUGCUUGCACGUUAG
ensembl:lncRNA